rnacentral:piRNA from 1 species
UGGUUGCUGCUGUAGGAGCCCUCAG